GCCGUCUCAGGAGGUUCCGGGCUGCGGGCCGUCUCAGGAGGUUCCGGGCUGCGGGCCGUCUCAGGAGGUUCCGGACUGGGAACUGUCGCCGGAAGCUCUGGACUGGGAACUGUCGCCGGAAGCUCUGGCCUGGGAACUGUCGUCGGAAGCUCUGGACUGGGAACGUGCACUGGAGGCCUGAUGCGUGGGGCUGGCAUAGGUGGCACCAGACUGGUAACACGCACCUCAGGGCAAGUGCGGGAAGCAGGAACAGGGCGUACCAGGCUGGAUAGACUCACUGGAGACCGGGUACGUGGGGCAGGCACAGGAUAUACUGGACCGUGGAGGCGCACUGGAGGUCUCGAGCGUAGAGCUGGCACAACCCGUCCUGGCUGGAUGCUUACUUUCGCCCGGCAAACGCGGGGAGCUGGCACAGGACGAACUGGGCUGUGAAUACGCACUGGCGACACAGUGCGCAGCGCCGGCGCAGGAUAUCCUGGACCGAGAAGGCGAACUGGAGACCAGGAGCGCUGAGCUGGCACCACCCUUCCUGGCUGAAUGCUCAACCGAGCUCGGCAAAUGCAGGGCGCGGGCACAGAUCACACCGGGCUGUGAAUAACACGAAUAACACGCAUAACACGGUGCUUGCUUCGUCACUCGCUCCCCAAGGUAAGCACGGGGAGUUGGCUCAGGUCUCCACCCUGGCUCUGCCAAUCUCCCCGUGUGCCCCCCCGCCUCUCGGGCUUCCGUCGUUGCUGUGACUCCCUCGCUGCCUCCACCUGCUUCCCCGGCAGGCUGUUGUAUCUCUCCAAUACCUGCUCCCAAGUCCAGUCUAUCCUUUUCUCCAACUCCUCCAGCGACCAGGAUGCCAUCUCCUCCUGGGCACGCUGCUUAAUAAAGUCCUCCUGACCGCGCUGCUUGGUCCUUUGGUUGUGGGAGAUUCUGUCAUGGUUGUCAUAGAGAGAUCUCUAAUUGAUCUCCAAUUAGAGACAACGAGGACCAGCUGCCUCUAAUUGGAGAUCAUCCCAAACAAAACCAACAUAGAAAUACAAAACUAGAACAUAAACAUAGAAAUACAAAACAUAGAAAAACACCCCCUGUCACGCCCUGACCUACUCUACCAUAGGAAAUAACAUCUUACUAUGGUCAGGACGUGACAGAGGUAUAUAAAGAUGUUAAAUUAUUCACAGAAAUGUGGUAAGAAUGUGUCCUGUCAGAAUAAAGCUGUCAGAAUCUGUGUUUUCUGAGUAUGCUUUGAUCCUUUUUUGCUAUAUUUAAUCUUCAAUCAUGUGUUUAUACAUG
rnacentral:lncRNA from 1 species